rnacentral:lncRNA from 1 species
GAAACCCUUUCCUCAUAUUCCUAUCUACAAACCUCCUUUUCCUCAUAUUCCUAUCUUCAAAAAACCUUUCCCUCCACAUGAGCCUAUCUAUGAAAAACCUCUUCCUCCGCCUACACCGGUCUAUGAAAAACCAGUUCCUCCGCCUACACCUGUCUAUGAAAAACCUCUUCCUCCGCCUACACCGGUCUAUGAGAAACCUCUUCCCCCGCCUACACCUGUCUAUGAGCCUCCACCAACUCCUGUAUAUCAUAAACCUCUUCCCCCACCUACGCCUGUCUAUGAGAAACCUCUUCCUCCACCUACACCUGUAUAUCAUAAACCACAUCCACCACCGGCUCCGGUCAAAGGUUGUCCACCAAAGGUUGAACACCCAAUUCUACCACCUGCUCCAGUAUACAAACCUC